CCUACGGGAGGCAGCAGUGAGGAAUAUUGGUCAAUGGACGGAAGUCUGAACCAGCCAUGCCGCGUGCAGGAAGACGGCUCUAUGAGUUGUAAACUGUUUUUGUACAAGGGUAAACCUGAAUAUGUGUAUUCAGCUGCAUGUACUGUACGAAUAAGGAUCGGCUAACUCCGUGCCAGCCGCCGCGGUAAUACGGUGGAUCCAAGCGUUAUCCGGAUUUAUUGUGUGUAAAGGGAGCGUCGGCGGAUUGAUAAGUUAGAGGUGAAAUGUCCGCGCUCAACUCGGGAACUGCCUCUAAAACUGGUGAUCUAGAGAGUAGGAGCGGUAGGCGGAAUGUAUGGUGUAGCGGUGAAAUGCGUAGAGAUCAGACAGAACACCGGUUGCGAAGGCAGCUUACCAAUCUAUAUCUGACGUUGAGGCACGAAAGCGUGGGGAGCAAACAGGAUUAGAUACCCGGGUAGUC
rnacentral:rRNA from 1 species